UACGGGGGGGGCAAGCGUUGUUCGGAAUUACUGGGCGUAAAGGGCUCGUAGGCGGCCAACUAAGUCAGACGUGAAAUCCCUCGGCUUAACCGGGGAACUGCAUCUGAUACUGGAUGGCUUGAGUUCGGGAGAGGGAUGCGGAAUUCCAGGUGUAGCGGUGAAAUGCGUAGAUAUCCGGAAGAACACCGGUGGCGAAGGCGGCCUGCUGGGCAGUUGCUGACACUGAGGCGCGACAGCGUGGGGAGCAAACAGG
rnacentral:rRNA from 1 species